UUACCGAGUUAUUCAACUCAUCAACCCUGUGAACAUACCUAAACGUUGCUUCGGCGGGAAUAGACGGCCCUGUAAAACGGGCCGCCCCCGCCAGAGGACCCUUAACUCUGUUUCUAUAAUGUUUCUUCUGAGUAAAACAAGCAAAUAAAUUAAAACUUUCAACAACGGAUCUCUUGGCUCUGGCAUCGAUGAAGAACGCAGCGAAAUGCGAUAAGUAAUGUGAAUUGCAGAAUUCAGUGAAUCAUCGAAUCUUUGAACGCACAUUGCGCCCGCCAGUAUUCUGGCGGGCAUGCCUGUUCGAGCGUCAUUACAACCCUCAGGCCCCCGGGCCUGGCGUUGGGGAUCGGCGGAGCCCCCCGUGGGCACACGCCGUCCCCCAAAUACAGUGGCGGUCCCGCCGCAGCUUCCAUCGCGUAGUAGCUAACACCUCGCGACUGGAGAGCGGCGCGGCCACGCCGUAAAACACCCAACUCUUCUGAAGUUGACCUCGAAUCAGGUAGGAAUACCCGCUGAACUUAAGCAUAUCAAUAA
rnacentral:rRNA from 1 species